rnacentral:rRNA from 1 species
GACGAACGCUGGCGGCGUGCCUAACACAUGCAAGUCGAACGCGUCUGUGCUUCGGCACAGAUGAGUGGCGAACGGGUGAGUAACGCGUGAGUAACUCCCCUUGGGGAGGGGGAUAACCAUCUGAAAAGGUGGCUAAUACCCCAUAUUCUCUUUUCUCAUAAGAGGAAGGAGGAAAGGUGGCGCAAGCUGCCACCCCGAGAGAGGCUCGCGUCCCAUCAGCUAGUUGGUAGGGUAAUGGCCUACCAAGGCUAUGACGGGUAGCUGGUCUGAGAGGAUGGUCAGCCACACUGGGACUGAGACACGGCCCAGACUCCUACGGGAGGCAGCAGUGAGGAAUCUUGGGCAAUGGGCGAAAGCCUGACCCAGCGACGCCGCGUGGAGGAAGAAGGCCUUCGGGUCGUAAACUCCUGUUUGGGGAGAAGAACAAGAGAGAAGUUAAUAGCUUCUCUCUCUGACGGUAUNCCCGGAGAAAAGCUCCGGCUAAUUACGUGCCANCAAGCCGCGGUAUACGUAAGGAGCGAGCGUUGUCCGGAUUUAC